UCCGACGAAGCUCCGGCGAGUCCUGGUUCCUGAAGGAUUUUGGUCAGCCACUUGCUUAACCUCUCAUUCUCCUUAAUCGAUAAGUUCAUUACAGCAAUAUAUAUAGCAGUACGCCUAUAGUAGUACCUUAGACUUUAGUAUUAACCAAUUUAAAGUAAAAACACUUACUACUUAGACAUUGACAUUGUUUUUGUUUUAACUAAACGAAACCCAAUAAUAAUUGGGCCUUGACUUGUUUCUGGCCCAUCUGGCCUCUUCCUUUCUUCGUUGACAAAGUGUGGUUUGUUCUUCUCUUCGUGUUCCUCCUCUUCGCUUCUUCUUCUUUCAAUGAUUGAUCGAUCAAAGAUUGAUUAUUCUUACUAACUCUCUUGCACAAGAUUGAUCAAAGGUGAUAAUCCAACAGUUCCUACUCCGAGCCUUUACUGGCACCUCUUAUGCGGACUGGAUCUGGUGCUUCUCAAGAUAAGUCUCAGGCUCCCACCAUUGUCGCCACCAUUUUCGUCCUCAAAAGAAGUGCAUCCAUUUCCGUCUGAAGCCGUAAACAAAGUGAAGAAAGUAUGAAGGUUCUACUAAGAAUAAUUGACGACCAGAUAUGGCAAUUCGUUACUAUGGCGACUUUUGUGGUGAAUGGUAUAGUUGUGUAAAACUUUAUUGUUUAGAAUCCCUGAUUUGUUGGAGUUUAGAUGACUAACGAAUAUUAUAUGGUUGGUAUUUUGUUCUGAUCUGUUUACAUUAAAUUAUACUCAGAGGUUUGCGAGAACUGACUUGUUUGGACAUGAAUGUAGAAUACCAAAGAUCCGAAUAA